UACGUAGGGGGCAAGCGUUGUCCGGAAUCAUUGGGCGUAAAGCGCGUGUAGGCGGCCGAGUAAGUCUGCUCUGAAAGCCCGGGGCUCAACCCCGGGAGGCGGGUGGAUACUGCUCGGCUCGAGUCCGGAAGAGGAGUGUGGAAUUCCUGGUGUAGCGGUGAAAUGCGCAGAUAUCAGGAGGAACACCAAUGGCGAAGGCAGCACUCUGGGACGGUACUGACGCUGAGACGCGAAAGCGUGGGGAGCAAACAGG
rnacentral:rRNA from 1 species